UCCCUGGUGGCUCAGAGGUUAAAGAGUCUGCUUCCAAUGCGGGAGACCCGGGUUUGAUCCCUGGGCCAGGGAA
rfam:Ovis aries breed Texel chromosome 6, whole genome shotgun sequence.